UCUCUUCUCUUAUCUCCUCUCCGCCAUUAACGGCAUAAAGCUCUUAGCCUUACGACGUUUUGCUUGGAUUUGAGAUGUUUGCUUAAAAUCUUCUUCAUGCUUUGUGACUGUUUUCUAAUAAUAUUCGUUUGCUUUCUUUUCCAAUUUAUAUGGUUCUGUUUUGAAGAUUGAGGAUGAUGAGUUUUGGUACAUAUAGCCCACGAAAGUUUUGGUACAUAUCAAAAUUCGGAGAGAUAAGCAAGACUCGAAUUUUAAAGCAGAGCAGAGGAAACAGAGUUGUGAAGAUGAUGAUGAUGAUGAUGAUGAAGCUGCAAACGGUGAAAGAGAAGACCCAUCGGAGUUUAUCACUCAUAGAGCUAAAGACUUUGUGUCGAGUAUGAAAGAUAUAGAGCAUAAGUUCUUUAGAGCUUCUGAAUCUGUGGCAAACAAGUUUCAAAAAUACUUGAAGCUAACAAGAUCAGAGUCAGAUUUGCUGAUAUGACAGAGCCAUUGAGUCAUCAAGUUAGUAAAGUCAAUUUGUGGAAGAAGAACAUUGUCUUCAAGAUCCUCUAAUUCUAGACAUCCGUUGAUCCAAACAUCAAAGGAAGAUCAUGAUGAUGAAAGUGGAAGUGAUUUCAUCGAAGAGUUUUGUAUGAUCUCAGGGAGUCACUCCUCUUCCCUUGAUCGGUUAUACGCGUGGGAGAGAAAACUAUAUGAUGAAGUCAAGGUAAAGAAAACUCUAAUUCGGUUGGUGUUGUGCUGCUCAAUGGAGUUCACAUAAUGCUUUUGAUUUGACACAUAAUAGUAAUAUAGCAUUGUGUUUUUAGUAAGAAGUGAUGAUUUUUUCUUCCA